rnacentral:lncRNA from 1 species
UCAGCUUCCCCAAAUCCCCUCUCCUCUCAACCGCUCUCUGAACCCUACCAUCCCACUUUUUUCUCCGAUCAAAAAUACACCAAUGUCUAUGGCUUCUCAGGCCAUGGACUGCCUAGAUUCUCUCCCCGUUCACCCCAAGACCUGAUUGGUCGAGCUUUCAAGGCUCAACCUUCAACAGACCUGUUCAGGUCCUCCGCCGACCUGAGCUCCCCUAAAUUCUCCAGCUCCAUUCCAGUGUGUUCGAGCUCUGAAAGGCUUAGCCAUGGUUCAGAUUCGUUCAUAGAACAAACCAUUCCAGGUUUCUCGUCUCUAUAGUUUCUGAGAAACCCUAAAAAAGGCUUGAUUCGAGGUUUUUCUUUCCUUAUUUUCUUAGAUCUGUAGCAGAUCUAUGCUCUAUUUGAUGUUUUAAUGAUUUUCCAAAAUUUUUCUUUUAUCCAUUCAAAUUAGGGUUUUCAAAAUCCUAAAAUGAUUCUUCUUCUUCUUUUUCUUAUUUGUGUAUGUGAAUUUGUGUGUUCAUGCCAUGUUUGAGGGGUUUUCGUUUGAUUCUUAAUAUGCAUAUCUCCCUGCCUUCGUUCUAUUACUGCUUCUACUAAUUUUCCUACAAGCAUAUUUAUACACCUAUCUGCCUACUGAAAGUGUUUACUUUUACUGAAUCUAUUUGGGUUAUCGAACUUUCUUCUUCCGCUGUUUCAUAAACUCCAAACUGGUUUGAGUUUUAGUUUUCCUAAAACUUGUUCUUUACAAACUUUCACUCUACUGCUUUUGAUUGCUAUGUGUGCCAGUGUAUUCCCUCAAGGAACUCUGAAAGAGUUCCCCCAGGCUUGUUGAGUUUGCCUUCCUUUUGUGUGUCCUGCUCAGAUUAAAACCCUAUUGGGGN